ACUGGUUGUGAGCACUUGGAAUGCCUGUGAUACCUGCUGACUUGUGAUUGGGCAGAAAAGUCACCAUCCUCUUAUUUCCAAUCCCAGAUUAGAAGAAACGGGUGUGCAGGGAGGCAGCAUGAGGAAGGACUGGAGUGGGUCUACGACCUACCUGAAGAAUGGGUAACACGAAAAAAGCACAUCCCUGCCACCACCUUGCCUGGAGGAAUACGAUAUAAAACCCUGAACAAUUUGUCAGUUACUGCAUGAAAUAAAAAUGAAAUAUUAAAGGGACACUGCCAGUUUCAAGCCCCCGCUUCUGUCAGCCAGUGUUUCACCUACUGUUCCCACAAGAAGCAACUAAAAAUCUCUCCAACUGGAAGAGAUUGGAGAAAAGCCUUUCAGCUCUGCUGGAACAGAAAUCAGGAGCCUGCUAAAGUCAUCGCCGUUAAAAAGGCAGCCAGGAAUCUUUCCACGAAACAGAUGCGUCCGGAUGGCUGAAGGUACCUUUGAGGUGUGAAAUAGCUCAGCCUGUUAAAGCUGGAGGCCUCGCUGAGGGCAGCCCCUGCAGUGUCCGUACUGGGCUGCACGUGAUGCUGCUGCUUCCCAAGUCUCGGCUCCGGUGAGCCAGACACAUGUCGGGCAAGAGCAAAAAUCACUCGCCCGGGGAAAUGGAUUCUCCUUCAGCCAUUAGGUGAGAGGAGACAGCCGGGUCCUCUGGGGAGUCGCGGAGAAGCCGAGACUCCUGGAAAGCCGCGGAGCCAAGGGCCUGUCUGUAAAACAAGUCACCGCGGAAGAAACGCUGCUGUCACCAGGCUCUGAAGAAAGCCAGGCACCCUCCGGCCCCGCAGCAGGAUGGCUCAGGCGAGGCACUAGCCACUCAAUCAUCGCUGCUUGCUGAAUGCCUGUCUCCUUGCUGUCUGUGUCCCCGCAGUGUCUGUCCCCUUGCACUUCUGUCUAGCCUUAUUCCAGUCUGUAACCCCGUGCACACGUUCUCUGCCUUCGCAUACAGACCCGCGGUAGCGCUGCAGGGAUGUUGCAGCCGCGAUGAUCCAGGAACUACGCGAGAGGCCAGGUUUCUCAUGGUUUAUAUCUUGUUGGACCAACUGGUUGCACUAACAAGCUUUGGGGAUUCUUCUUCAGGUCCCAGAAAAAAGCAGGCCCAGCUAGGUCUAAAACGGUCUGCAAGUCUGUUAAAUUGCUGCAAUCAAAAGCUUGUCUAAAUCUAGCCCACCUGUGGCAUUGGGCCAAUCAAAGGUAUCACCCACAAAAAGACUUGCCUCUCCCAUAUUUCAUGGUCUUCUGCGUAUAGGUGUGUCUAUAACUUCCUACAUAGCUCCCUCUCCUUAUGUAUUACCCAUUUAUCUGUCUAACCCAGUGACUGUCAACCAAGGGGGCAUAGGAUGAUACGUAAUAUUAGCACUGUUAGGCGAGCAAACGCGAUUUGCAAGACAAACCCAGAGAUUUCACAUAGGAAUCCAUAGCAUUAAAUACACUCUGGCUUGCUGUGGUCUUUCUGAGGUCUUUGCAAUGGAAACGCUGCUCUAUUAUUUUUCCGUAGCUGAAAAAUGAGUGAGCUGGUCUUUCUUGAGGGGUGCCUCAAGCUUAAAGGGGGGGGCCUCAAAUCUAAAAAGGUUGACAACCAGUGGUCUAGCGCCAGGGAUGGAUCUAGGGUUUGGCAACCCGCUCCUCCUGCCAACCCAUUGCCUCUGCUGCUGUCGCUGUUCCCAGCUGAGCCCACCCAGGGGCAGCCUUGAAGCCUCCCCUGGCAGUCGGAAAAGCAAU